CCAAGUUAUACGCGUGCUUUCAAACUUUGCAUUGCAGAGCUCUUGCGAUCUCUUCGGUUCUAACAAUCCUGCUGCUUCUUCCACGCAACAAACCACAAUCAUGUCUUCUAAUUCCGCCCAGCCUUUUCUCUCUUCACCCUCAGCUCUUCUACGAACCACCUCCUCUUCUCUUUCCAUUAUUAAUCAAUCACCGCGUGUUUGGCUGUUCGGGGCUAAAGACAAAAGAGUUUUUCGCUCCAAAUGCAGUACGGUUUCAAAACCCCGAACUCAAGAUCUCGUGUUACAAAAUAUUCUGAAGUGGCACGAGAGUGUGAAGGAUGACAUAGAAGGAGAUGAAGCAGCUCCUAUGGAUUUUCAAUCGAUUAAUAAGAUCAAGGAACAUGUUGAAUCCAUUAGAUCAACGUUGGUUUCGAUGGAGGACGGGGAGAUAUCAAUCUCGGCAUACGACACCGCAUGGGUGGCUAGCUUUAGUGGAAGAUAUUGAGGGUGAGGGAAGUGGCCUGCCCCAGUUUCCAUUCAGCCUCGAUUGGAUUGCCAACAAUCAGCUGCCAGAUGGUUCUUGGGGAGAUAGUGAAAGUUUCACUUCUCCUGAUCGCAUCAUCAACACCAUUGCUUGUGCAGUAGCACUCAAAUCGUGGAACGUUCAUCCUGGAAAAUGCGAAAAUGGUGAUACGGAAUGGCAUAUUUCAAGAACAUAAGUAAUCUUAGGAACGAGAAUGCUGUGCACAUGCCGUUCGGGUUUGAAGUUGCUUUUCCUUCAAUUCUUGAAUUAGCUCGGAGUUUAAACCUGGAGGUACCUGAUGACUGUCCUGUGUUGAAUGAGAUUUAUGCCAUGAGAAAUAUAAAGCUCGAAAAGCAUAAUUUACUGAACAAUUAUAGAGGCCAUAAAGAGAGGGAAGGUGCGGCAAUGGUAGAGAGAAAGAGAGAUGUGUAAUUGUGGGUGUGUGUUAUUCCACCCCAUUGUGCCUUUAUUUAUAG